CCUACGGGUGGCAGCAGUGAGGAAUAUUGGUCAAUGGGCGGGAGCCUGAACCAGCCAAGUCGCGUGAGGGACGACGGUCCUAUGGAUUGUAAACCUCUUUUGUCGGGGAACAAAGGCGUCCACGGGUGGGCGGAUGAGUGUACCCGAAGAAAAAGCAUCGGCUAACUCCGUGCCAGCAGCCGCGGUAAUACGGAGGAUGCGAGCGUUAUCCGGAUUUAUUGGGUGUAAAGGGAGCGUAGAUGGGUUGUUAAGUCAGUUGUGAAAGUUUGCGGCUCAACCGUAAAAUUGCAAUUGAUACUGGCAGUCUUGAGUACAGUUGAGGUAGGCGGAAUUCGUGGUGUAGCGGUGAAAUGCUUAGAUAUCACGAAGAACUCCGAUUGCGAAGGCAGCUUACUAAACUGCCACUGACAUUGAUGCUCGAAAGUGUGGGGAUCAAACAGGAUUAGAUACCCCAGUAGUC
rnacentral:rRNA from 1 species